rnacentral:rRNA from 1 species
GACGAACGCUGGCGGCGUGCUUAACACAUGCAAGUCGAACGGAAAGGCCCUGCUUCUGUGGGGUGCUCGAGUGGCGAACGGGUGAGUAACACGUGAGUAACCUGCCCUUGACUUUGGGAUAACUUCAGGAAACUGGGGCUAAUACCGGAUAGGAGCUCCUGCUGCAUGGUGGGGGUUGGAAAGUUUCGGCGGUUGGGGAUGGACUCGCGGCUUAUCAGCUUGUUGGUGGGGUAGUGGCUUACCAAGGCUUUGACGGGUAGCCGGCCUGAGAGGGUUACCGGCCACAUUGGGACUGAGAUACGGACCAGAAUCCUACGGGAGGCAGCAGUGGGGAAUAUUGCAAAAUGGGCGGAAGCCUGAUGCAGCAACGCCGCGUGCGGGAUGACGGCCUUCGGGUUGUAAACCGCUUUCGCCUGUGACGAAGCGUGAGUGACGGUAAUGGGUAAAGAAGCACCGGCUAACUACGUG